GACGAACGCUGGCGGCGUGCCUAAUACAUGCAAGUCGAACGCAGUGGGGACGGGUGAGUAACACGUGGGUAACCUCCCAUCAGAGGUGAUAACACUUGGAAACAGCCGCUAAACCGAUACUUAUUUAUGAACCCGUGGUGCAUUAGCUAGUUGGUGCGGUAACGGCUCACCAAGGCCACGAUGCAUAGCCGACCGGAGAGGAUGAUCGGCCACACUGGAACUGAGACACGGCCCAGACUCCUACGGGAGGCAGCAGUAGGGAAUCUUCGGCAAUGGGCGAAAGUCUGACCGAGCAACGCCGCGUGAGUGAAGAAGGUUUUCGGAUCGUAAAACACUGUUGUUAGGGAAGCGGUAUAUAAAGAAAAAGCCACGGCUAACUCCGUGCCAGCCGCCGCGGUAAUUG
rnacentral:rRNA from 1 species